GGAGAGAUUGGUAGCCGAAGAGGACUCGAUGAGACUCUGGAAGAGGAUGGUAACCGAGGAGAUUCGGUGAGGUAGCCGAAGAGGACUCGAUGAGACUCUGAAAGAAGAUGAUAGCCGAAGGGAUUCAGUGAGACUCAAGCUAGGGUUGGUAGCCAAAGAUAGCUGGUGUAUUGACAAUAAUUAUGGGAAUCGACAAGGAGGGUCGACUGGUGUCGGUUGGUAAGAUUAAAUGGGUCUAACCACCUAGCCUGCUGAUUGAGGG
rnacentral:lncRNA from 1 species